AAACAUAAUUCUAUAUGAUGAGAAAUACACACCCAUAAAUGCAUUUAGGAAGAGCCGGAAAAGGCAUGGCCUGUAUCGUCAAAUACGGCCGUCGGUGCUUAUACCUGGGUCUCUGAAAUCACAAAGAGGAAAAAAUU
rnacentral:snoRNA from 1 species